ACCUCCUUUUCAGCAACGCUGAAAAGAAGCACCCUCUGGCCUCUGCCAUUGAAUUAAGGCCUGCUAGGUUGUGCAUGUAUUGUUGCUAGACUCACUCCGUUAGACAUUUGGUGUGCUUCACUGCAUCUCUCCAGACCAGAAACAUAGCCAUCUUCUUAGCCCAUUUGGAAAUGGAGUUUGGGCCUGCUGCAUUCCUGAGAUGACAGGUUGUUCUGAUUAGGCACUUCCUUGGCGCCCUCAGAUACUUCUUAAAGAAUUGUCUUUCCUUCAGGUCCCUGAAGAUCACCUUAAGCUUUUCUGAAGUUUAAGAUAAGAUCCAAAUGGGGACAAGUUUGGAAAACCUGAUUCUCUCCUUCAGCUCACCAGUGUCUGGAAGCUUCAUCUGUAUCUGAAAAUACAGCAGGUCCUACAUUACAUCUGUGACCCAGGGACAUCACAUGGGAGUAAUUUGGAAUGUGUGAGUUAUUCUAAAGCAUCUUAACUUGAGGUCUUAUAUUGCAUUUAUAUCUAUUUACCUCUUAUUCUGUCAGUUAUAUGCCAUCCUUCCUCAAAACGAGCACAGGGUGGCAUACAGAUUAGUCUACUUUACCCUUAUACAAAUUAUGUGCAGUAAAACAGGCCAGUACCUGUAUUUAACCUAAUUGUAAUGGGGUCAUCUAAAAUUUGAUUUGAGUAAAUAGUGGUAACCAAACCAGGAUGUCUUACCCACACACUGCAUCCAGAAGACUACAGCAGCUUAAAGCCAAGGCUACAAGAAAUCCUAGCUCAGAAGUCAAUACAGCUUCCUUUUAACCAAAGGCCCCUCCUACACAAAGCACCAUGAUCUCAAACUGGUGAACCCUGGAGUAGCUUGAAGGUUUACGGAGUGCCUCAAGGAAGCAAACCUAUGAAAGACUGCUUGUGCAUUACUACCAAUCUUCCUAUGCAAUGCAUAACUUCAGCUGUGUGUUCAGGUACACUUAUUUUACAUUAUAAUUUACACCCAACAUGACUGAUACUCCCCUUAGGGGAUGGGACCAAUCUGGGAGGAGCACCUGCAUGUAGGUUCCAAGGUCCCUCCCUGGCAUCUCCAAGACAGGGCUGAGAGACUCCUGCCUGCAACCUUAGAGAAGCCACUGCAGGUCUGGGUAGACAAUACUGUGCUAGAUGAACCAAUGAUCUGACUCAGUUUAAGGUAGCUUCCUAUGUUCAGCCCCUCAAACUGAAGAUACGUCUUAGAACAUGCCCAAGAAUCCUUUGCAAAGAGCAUCCAUCAUAGGGGCCUCUUGUAACAAGGUUCUUUGAAAGUUGAAAUAAAAAUAAUGAGUUGGAAAAUAAAGGUCAAGCAAAUACUUUACUUGGCCCAGACCAAUAUUUCAUCCUAAUCUUAGCUUCUCAAAUGCCACAUGCUGAUGAAACGUCAGCCCAAAAUAUGCUGUUUUCAAAUCCAUGCAGAUUUUAUUAAGAGAUUUCCUGGGUUUAAUCCAACACAGCACCUUCUAACAGCCUAGUACUGUAGCCAUGGCCAAAGCCAAAAAAAAUACUGUUCUUCAGGCAAGCUCAUGCCCAUUAAAAAGAAUGAUUUUUUUUAGUAUUUAAAAGCUGUAAAAUUAAUGUUGGCCUCUGCAGUAUUAAGGCAAUCAAACUAACUUUAAGGCUAGACUUUACAGAGGUGAUCUAUUAUGUAAACAGCCACCAUUUGCAGUAAUGGCAGCAGCAUGAAGCACACUCCCAGGGCAAAUAAGAGCAAUUAUCUUUUGAAGAAAUUGGUGUGGUUAAAAAUGAAUUGAUCCUUACCCAUGUAUGGGCAGCCAAAACAGAAAUCCUUAAUUUCACAGUUGUGCCUCAAAGCAAAUAUGAAUUCUACUGCAAAGGCAUAUGGGAUUCAUAACCAGUUAUUUUGGAUUACCCUUCUGGGUAGUAAAAAAGCUCCAUUUAGGUUAUAAACAAAUGUUUUGUUAUACCAGUCAGUUAGUACGCAUACUAGUUCAGUAAAUACACAAGUUAGAAUCUGAUUUACAU